UACAGGGGGGGCAAGCGUUGUUCGGAAUUACUGGGCGUAAAGGGCUUGUAGGUGGCCAAUUAAGUCAGACGUGAAAUCCCUCAGCUUAACUGGGGAACUGCGUCUGAUACUGGAUGGCUUGAGAUUGGGAGAGGGAUGCGGAAUUCCAGGUGUAGCGGUGAAAUGCGUAGAUAUCUGGAGGAACACCGGUGGCGAAGGCGGCAUCCUGGACCAACACUGACGCUGAGGAGCGAAAGCCAGGGGAGCAAACGGG
rnacentral:rRNA from 1 species